GGUCAUCGUGUAUCAUUAUCGAUCCGGGGGAGGGCGGCGGGGAGCGCCUACCGCGUAUCUGUUGCUCGCCACUUCUCCGGGAAGGCGGCGUGAGGCAGCAGUCAGUAGAGGGCAAUAGAGAAAUACAGUUUGUGAUGCCUAAAGGAUUUGAAGCCCUGAUUAUGUGUUUACAGAAAAGAAAAAGAAGAAAAGAAGAGCCAGGAGGAUAGGUUGUUCAGUUUACUACCGGAGACCUGACUGUGACAGACCACCAAGAAAACAAAAUGUUCAAAGAGAGUACAAGAAGACCUUCUGCAGCAUCUGUGAGUCUGUCCUUUUUUCUUCAGAGUUACGUAGGAUAACUUAGCCAGAACUUAUUGAUGUCUGCAUGUUCAGUGGACUCGGGAAUGGACUGGGAGAUGCAGAAACGUACUCUUUGGAAGAAACAGGAGAGGAGGCAUUUCAAAGAUCCUGCAGGUGACAAAGGUGAUGAUCUGCUGACAGAAUAAAUAAAUAAUAGAAAGUGCCAAGACUGCACAGGCAUUUGCUGUGGUAUCACUCCCACACGAGGAACCUUCAUCACAAGUCUUUCUUCAAGUAUGUUCUCUCCUGUGGGUUCAUUAUUUUGCAGAGGAUGGGUCUUUCUGCCCUGCAGGGCUCUAUCUAUCACUGCUGACUCUCUGCAUCUUCUCCACAUGGAAGAAGUAAUUGGAUUGUAUUUUCUGCACACGACCAAGACAGCAGGGAAACCCACAGCUGUAAGCCAGAGAACCAAGCUGUCGAGAGAGUAAGGACCUGGUGCCUAAGAAAACUAAAUGUCUGGGUCUAACCACAAGAUCUUUCUUUUCUUUCCAUGGAGGAGCUGAGACAUGCUGAACUGCAUUAACCAGACUGCUCAGGAAAGUGAGCUCUUCAAGGAGCAGUGAAAAACAUAAACACCCAAAUAAUCCCUUAAAAAAUGCAGCCCAGGAGCAUUAAAUCAUGUGACCAUACAAAAUAAUAAGUAUGCUGUGGGAUGCUAACGGUACAGGACAUUUCAUAAAGUUACAGUGCAAUUAUUGCAAAAUCCAGUGACUUUUUUACACUGACAGGGCCUCCACGUGCUACCACAUGGCUGAUGUAUAUGAUUAUGCAGGAGCAACUGCAACAACUCAGCCCAGACAAAAAGGCAAGAAAAGUGCCCUUAUUUCAUUUAUUUCCAGAUUGCGUUGUAUUUAUUAUUACUAUAAUGCUGCAAAAUGCUAUGUUGUAGUCUUUCCUUUUUUUUUUAAGAACACCACAAUCCUAACAUGAUUAUAUCUGGGGAAAGUGAUGGGAUUGCCAAAGCUUUAUGCUGUUAGUCUUUAAGAGUUUAAUAGAUGUAUUACUUUCCUUCAAAUGAAUGUCUGCUUGUCAGUGUCAGCCUUCUACUGUUCGUCGCCCCCCCCUCCACUUCCUUAGAUCCAAGCCUAAAAAAAGAAUCUGUUUGGAGCUUGAUGUGUUGCUUGCAGCUAUGUUAGAGGAACUGUACUAUUCUGGGAACACUCAGGCUCCUCCAAACACCUCUUCCAGCAGUAACACCAUGCGUGGUUUUCAUCUCAGCCUUAAGGACUUUCAUUGGUCUCCUAUCAAGCCUCACCAGACAAAUUCCAAGUGCCACAGGGAAUGAACUGCACUAUACCAGAAUGUCAUCCCCAAACUUGCACUCAUCAUCAUCAUCAUCAUCAUCAUCAUCAGGUUUCCCAUGCAGGCUGAUUUGUACAUUUCUCUCCAAGACAUGUUUUAUCAACCUUGACUGGAAUAAAAGCAGUGACACAAGA